rnacentral:lncRNA from 1 species
UGGACAACCCAUCCUGAUUGGAUGCUAUUUGACCAUCCCAACCAUAUCCUUCUUUGAUGCAUUGUAUAAAUUGCACAAGAAUCCAACUAAGAUCACCCCUUCCGCACUACUUUUUAUUGUUUUGAACCAACACAUGAUUCAUUAGAUGGACCCCAUACACAACCAACAAACUCAGCAGAGUUCGAUAAGCCACCAAAACGCCACUUGCAACCAAUUCACAAGGCUGAGCACUAUACCAAAUUUUAGUUUAUUCUCAAACAAAAAUCCUCUCCAAGUCAGUGGUGUAUGAAUGAUCAACAUUAUCUGCGAACGUCAUCACUAAACAAACAUCAGCUCACAAACAGACCCGCAUUGACCAAACUCACAACAACUAAGCCCUGUGAACUUUGCAGAACCUGCACAAGCAAAAACAACCCACGUUGCUGGAUGGCUAUAAGACCACACUCCCAACACAAACUCGGGCACCCCACACACACAUGCCAUCUAAUUGCUAGCUUGACAGCAGCGUGGACUCCAUGUGAUGCGUUCCUCACAUCCACUCUUCUCUAAAUACCUCAACAAAGCAAUGGAUUGCAACAAGUUUGUGCGGCCCGCGAGGAUUCUUGUACAAUCACAGCCAACAGCCCGUUGGUGCAAGUAACCAAGUCU